rnacentral:misc_RNA from 1 species
AAUAUUCACACAAAGAAUAAUUUGAAACACUCACAUGCCCAUCUAUCACAUAAAUAUACGUAUCUAUAUGGGAGUUGAUUUCCUAUACAGCUCUUUUAAUCCAAUGCUAGCCAGCGAAAUCAACUCAAGGCGGACUUUCUCUUAACAAUUCAAAUGCAGGGGUCAGCAAAAUCAACUUAAAGCUAUAUUCACCCCUAGGGGUGAGCAUUCGGUUCAA